CAGGUGUGUGGGAAAGGAGAUGAAUUUUACUUUUAUUACAUGGAGUUUCAAGUGCCCGGUCAACAUUCAGAUGGAGAUGUCCAGGGUAGGGUGAAAACAAGAGAUCAGAAGAGCA